GACGAACGCUGGCGGUGUGCUUAACACAUGCAAGUCGAACGGUAAGGCCCUUUCGGGGGUACACGAGUGGCGAACGGGUGAGUAACACGUGAGUAACCUGCCCUCAUCUCUGGGAUAACAGUCGGAAACGGCUGCUAAUACUGGAUAUGAGCUUGCAAGGCAUCUUGUGGGUUGGAAAGAUUUUUUUGGUUGGGGAUGGACUCGCGGCCUAUCAGCUUGUUGGUGAGGUAGUGGCUCACCAAGGCUUCGACGGGUAGCCGGCCUGAGAGGGCGACCGGCCACAUUGGGACUGAGAUACGGCCCAAACUCCUACGGGAGGCAGCAGUGGGGAAUAUUGCACAAUGGACGGAAGUCUGAUGCAGCAACGCCGCGUGCGGGAUGACGGCCUUCGGGUUGUAAACCGCUUUCAAUUGUGACGAAGCUUUUUGUGACGGUAGCAGUAGAAGAAGCACCGGCUAACUACGUG
rnacentral:rRNA from 1 species